GGAAAACAUAAAGGUUCACUGUGAAUGCAAAGCCUGUUUCCAGAUUCAGAGACUGCUGUUCCCUCUCAAGUUUUUAAGGAAGACUCAAUUAUAUAAGAAGGUCUUCAAAGCACUUACACUACAAAUUAAAGAACACAAUCUUGUAAUGGGUUUCUUCUGAUGAAAUAUAACCAGUGAUCACCAUCCUUGCAAAGAGCCAUGCGCUGCAUAUCUACCCUAAGCAAACAGAGAAGCUUAAACUAACACAUCAUCUUCAAACAAAGUUAUCUGAAGUUCUGAAAACACAGAGGUAAGAAACUAAUAAGUGACAAUUCUGAAAUACUUGCUUAAAGACAACAAACCGAU